UGUGCCCCCGGGUACACUCGCACCGGGGGGGGGCUGUACCUGGGGCACUGCGAGCUGUGCGAGUGCAACGGGCACUCCGAGAGCUGCCACCCCGAGAGCGGCGCCUGCUCCGGAUGUUUGCACAACACGGCCGGGGACUUCUGUGACCAGUGUGCCCCCGGGUUCUACGGGGACGCCACGGCCGGGACCCCCGAGGACUGCCAGCCCUGCGCCUGCCCCCUCCCGUACCCCGAGAACCAGUUUUCCAGGACGUGUGAGAGUUUGGGAGGUGGCGGGUACCGCUGCACCGCCUGCGAGCCGGGCUACGCCGGGCAGUACUGCGAGCGGUG